rnacentral:misc_RNA from 1 species
UCUCCGUAGGUGAACCUGCGGAGGGAUCAUUACAGAGUUCCUGCCCUCACGGUUAGAUCUCCCACCCUGUGUUAUUAUACUUUGUUGUUUUGGCAGGCCGCCCGCGUGGGCUACCGGCUCCAGCUGGUAAGUGCCUGCCAGAGGACCCCAAACUCUGAAUAUUUUAUUGUCUGAGUACUAUAUAAUAGUAUAAAACUUUCAACAACGGAUCUCUUGGUUCUG